rnacentral:rRNA from 1 species
AAGACCUUGCGCUUUUGGAGCGGCCGAUGCCUGAUUAGCUUGUUGGUAAGGUAAAAGCUUACCAAGGCUUCGAUCAGUAGCUGGUCUGAGAGGACGACCAGCCACACUGGGACUGAGACACGGCCCAGACUCCUACGGGAGGCAGCAGUGGGGAAUUUUGGACAAUGGGGGCAACCCUGAUCCAGCCAUGCCGCGUGAGUGAAGAAGGCCUUCGGGUUGUAAAGCUCUUUCAGCCGGAACGAAACGGUUACGGUUAAUACCCGUGAUUACUGACGGUACCGGAAGAAGAAGCACCGGCUAACUACGUGCCAGCAGCCGCGGUAAUACGUAGGGUGCGAGCGUUAAUCGGAAUUACUGGGCGUAAAGCGUGCGCAGGUGGUUUUGUAAGUCAGAUGUAAAGCCCCGGGCUCAACCUGGGAACU